rnacentral:rRNA from 1 species
CUACGGGGGGCUCCAGUGGGGAAUAUUGCACAAUGGAGGAAACUCUGAUGCAGCAACGCCGCGUGGAGGAUGACACUUUUCGGAGCGUAAACUCCUUUUAUAUAGGAAGAAGAUGACGGUACUAUAUGAAUAAGCGCCGGCUAACUCCGUGCCAGCAGCCGCGGUAAUACGGAGGGCGCAAGCGUUACUCGGAAUCACUGGGCGUAAAGAGCGUGUAGGCGGAUUAAAGAGUCAGAAGUGAAAUCCUAUAGCUUAACUAUAGAACUGCUUCUGAAACUCUUAAUCUAGAAUGUGGGAGAGGUAGAUGGAAUUUCUGGUGUAGGGGUAAAAUCCGUAGAGAUCAGAAGGAAUACCGAUUGCGAAGGCGAUCUACUAGAACAUUAUUGACGCUGAGACGCGAAAGCGUGGGGAGCAAACAGGAUUAGAUACCCCAGUAGUC